UACGAAGGGGGCUAGCGUUGCUCGGAAUCACUGGGCGUAAAGCGCACGUAGGCGGAUCUUUAAGUCAGGGGUGAAAUCCCGGAGCUCAACUCCGGAACUGCCUCCGAUACUGGGAGCCUUCGAGUCCGGGAGAGGUGAGUGGAACUGCGAGUGUAGAGGUGAAAUGCGCAGAUAUCAGGAAGAACACCCGUGGCUAAGGCGGCUCUCUAGUACGGUACUGACGCUGAGACGCGAAAGCGUGGGGAGCGAACAGG
rnacentral:rRNA from 1 species